rnacentral:rRNA from 1 species
CCUACGGGAGGCUGCAGUGGGGAAUAUUGGACAAUGGGGGGAACCCUGAUCCAGCCAUGCCGCGUGUGUGAAGAAGGCCCUCGGGUUGUAAAGCACUUUCAGUGAGGAAGAACGCCUGGUGGUUAAUACCCAUCAGGAAAGACAUCACUUACAGAAGAAGCACCGGCUAACUCCGUGCCAGCAGCCGCGGUAAUACGGAGGGUGCGAGCGUUAAUCGGAAUUACUGGGCGUAAAGCGCGCGUAGGUGGCUUGAUAAGCCGGUUGCGAAAGCCCCGGGCUCAACCUGGGAACGGCAUCCGGAACUGUCAAGCUAGAGUGCAGGAGAGGAAGGUAGAAUUCCCGGUGUAGCGGUGAAAUGCGUAGAGAUCGGGAGGAAUACCAGUGGCGAAGGCGGCCUUCUGGACUGACACUGACACUGAGGUGCGAAAGCGUGGGUAGCAAACAGGAUUAGAUACCCUGGUAGUC